CUAGUGGUAAUUGACAACUUUCUACACGUUAUUCCUGAUAUAACUUUCCACGUUUUCCAGAUCACCACUAACACGAACCGAGAUAACUGAGAUAGCGAUAUGUGCGCCUCUUCAGUGUAGCCGGAACUGAGCUCAAUGCAGCAGUACACGCGCAUUUAAUACGUGAGUACCAGGAAUUGUUCAGGUAAUUCUAAAACUGGUUCUGUUCUUGAUUUACCGGUAUUUGACAGGGG
rnacentral:lncRNA from 1 species